GCCAGGUCUGCAGUUGGAGCCCAUUGUGUGAGGCAGUCUGUGAAGGAAGUGUGAGAACCACCCUCAUGAGGAAAGCUGUAGAGGAAGAGUGAGGAAUGCGACAGACUCCCUGAAAGCAAAGGUGGAAAAAGAAUUCACGUGGUGAAGUCAGUGACUAAUCAGUGAUGUAACUUUCCUCUCUGGAAUGGGCCCUGCUCAAAGAAAAGGUAGUGACAUGAUUCAAGACUGAGAACACAGGAACAUUAUGACAUAUCUUGAAGUAACAUCUGGAAGUGUGACGCUCGUCUCCUACCUGGGUCCUGACCGCAGAAUGAAUUGUGACAUACGACGGAGUACAAAACCUAGGUGAAAUUAUGCCAUAUACCUGAGACAGAUCAAAGGAAUAAUAACAACUUUAUACCUGGAGCCAGGAUGUGCAGAAUGGUGACUCUCAUUCCUGAACAUUUCCACCAGUGCUAUUGUGACAUACACCUUGGUCCAGCUCCUCAGUGAUUUAAUAAUCCUGCCUAAUUAUAGCCUGCAUAUGACAUUUUGACAUAUACCUGGACCUAGAACCUUGGUGAUUUGACUCUCCUGUUGUAGAGGGUCCUCAGAAAAAACUAUAACAUAUCUAUGGGCCCAUCAUCUAGGUAAUGUGAUGUUCCCCAUUUGUCUGAACCUCCUUUCAGUGAAGAGUGUGGCAUUUCUAAACACUGCAUCCAAAUGACAUGACUCUCUUGCCUGGGCCAUUUCAACAGGAGGCCUUGUGACAUAUCUCUGAGCCCAUCAUUUUGGUGAUAUGACUCUCCUCACCUGCCUGGACAUUGUCCACAAGAGGCAUUAUGCGAUAGAGCUGGGACUGGCACCAAAGUUUUCUGACUUUUCGGUUAGUGCCCUGCUGACAAAGAGAACGUUGUAAUACUUCUGGCUUAGAAUGUAGGUGAUGUGUUUGUUCUAUCUCUUUUAUAACCAAAGACGGGAUGGUGACAUAUAACUAGGCACAGCUAAUAGGCAUGAUAAUGACUCUCUUAUGUGGACCCAGCCAAUAGAAGAAAUGUUGCCUCUUAUAACUAGGUUUAGGGACAUGAGUGAUGUAGAAUCUCCUUCUGGUAAAAAGGUCACAGAAGAUUGCAACACUCACACAUAUUUUUUAACACCCUUGUGUUGAAUAGAGGGUGUCACAAAGCACCUAGCACACAGAAUAAAUUGUGAGUAUUGUAUGCACACCCAGCUGACAGCAAGGAAUUUCACCAUCACAGGUGGAUGAAGGCAUCUGUCCUACAUGAAAACAGGACAUGUGUGGUAUUCUAAAUCUAAUCCCCAGAAUUUUAUUUCUUCAAGACUGUGAUAUAAAUCUUUGCCAGUUAAAAAAAAAAAAAAAAAAAAAAAAA
rnacentral:lncRNA from 1 species